UUCGGAGUAGACGAAUAGGUAAAGUCAUGAAUUUUUGGUGUUUAUGUAUGAGUGUUCGAGUCACUCCUCCGAAA
rnacentral:tRNA from 1 species